AAGGCCAAGCCGUCGGACCAGCUCGAGCUAAAGUUGCUUAUUUGCACGUUCUGCGAAUUACAGCAAAAGUGUGUGUGUGUGUUUUGUGAUAACAGCGGUAAUUAAGCGGUACAUGAUUUUUUUUUUGUGUGUUUUUUCUUGUGUAAAAUCCAGCCCCAAAAGCAAAUUGGCGACAAGAACAAUAACAAAACAGUUAUAAAGCGGCAAACACAUGUAUCUCCAGCUAAACUGUUUUGCCCUGGUAAGUGAAUCACAUCUUUUAUUACUAAAUUUGGG